AGUUUUAGUGUUAGGAAUUUUGGUAUGCACUUUUGUUAUUAUUAUUAUUAUUUUUAAUCUAAUUUAUUCUAGUUUCAUGUGCUUUUGUCUUUUUUUUCUAUGUAUGUAUUUUUUCUAUUUCUAUGUAGCUUUAUAUUUAGUUCAAUUUUAGUAAUUUUGUUUAUUUUUAUUUUACUUUAAGUACUUUUAUGAUCUUUUUUGAUAGUUUUUGUCUUUUUUUCGUUUUAGGUUUAAUUUAUAUUUAUUUUAUAUCAGUUAGUUGGCAACACUUUCCAUGUUUCCAUCUAAUAUUUUAUUAUAUAUAUAUAUCACUGUUUACUCUGGUGGAAAUAACAUUUUAAACUUUUAUGGAAUAAAAUGUCCAACUAAAUGUCUAAUUUAUUAACAACAAAGCAACAUUUGAAUGUCAUCCCUGAAUUGAUCCGCAGAAAUUCCUUGUUGAAAUGUAAAGUUUUGCUUCAGUGUAGAUGUGUGUGUUUCUGGCAGCAUGUUUAGAGUUCAGCAGGAAGCCGUCUGGAUCGGACAGAAGGGAUCCUCCGGUCUUUCCAGAGCUGUUUCUGCGUACGGCAUUGUGGAUAUGUGAGAAUCUUCCAGAAUGUGGAUCUGCUUCAGUUACAGCUACGACCUGA
rnacentral:lncRNA from 12 species